UUAUCAAGAAGUGAUACGGAAAUCAAGUUCUUUCUUAACUUCGAUACAUAAAGGACAUUGUUGAGAGUCUAACAUUUUGUCUGAUGUCAUUUUCAAGCAGACUUUUUCUGUCCUUUCAACUUUUGCAGUUGCGGAGUUUGCCAUAUAGAUCUUCUCUUCGCCUUGAGUCAGAGCAAAUACAGCAAACAACUCUUUAUUUGCACAAACGUGACGGGUGGCACCAUAAUCCAUCCACCAUUCUCGAUGAUUUCCCACUAGGUUACAUUCAGAAAGCAUAGCAAAUAGAUCGUCUAUUUCGUUCUUGAAUUUAUCCAUAUUUUUUUUAUCCUUCUUUUUGUCUUUCUUUGGGGCACGACAAUCUGUAGACUUGUGGCCAAUCUUGCCACAAUUAAAGCAUUUUCCUUUAAAUUUCUUCUUAGGCUGAUUGCUUUGUUGUCCAGCUUUCUUCCGCUUCUUUGAUUUGUUGGGGUCGUAUUUUCUACAAUAUUAACUCCACUCAUUGUAGAAUUUCUUUUAGACCUCCUCUCUGCGGCUUUGUUGUCUUCCUAAAUGCGCAACCUCAUAAUGAGGUCUUCGACUGUUAUCUCCUUUCGUUUGUGUUUCAAGUAAUUCUUGAAGUCCUUCCACAAAGGUGGUAACUUCUCUAUUAUUGCAGCUACUUGAAAUGCCUCGUUCACAACCAAACCUACGACAAAGUUCAUGUGAACAUUAAGAACAUUUUUAACUUGUUCAAUUAAGGUAUUCAGUAAAUUCAUACCUUCAGCAAGGAGAUCGUGGAUGAUGAUUUACAAUUCCUGUACUUGAGAAACGACAGUCUUGCUGUCAAUCAUUUUGUACUCAAAAAAUCGUGCAACAAAGAACUUCUUGGUUCCCCCAUCCUCAGUCUUAUAUUUCUUUUCCAACGCAUUCCACAAUUCUUUUAGAUGUUUUCAUUCUGCUGUAAAUACUGUAUAAGUCAUCUUGGAGGCCACUUAGGAUAUAGUUCCUACAUAGGAAAUUAAAAUGUAUCCAUGCCUCUGUUACAAUUAACCGCUCCGUGUCCAAAUGUAACACCCCAUACUUUCGGGCUAGAAUUUAGACCAUCGUUCCUAUGUGUAUAGACCCAAACUAAGUGAUUCCUUGUUAAUGCACGUGUGGUGAUCAAUCCAAUAGUGUGUGAAUACCUUUUAAUAUGAAUUGAGGUCAUAAGAAUCCCCUAACUCUAGGAUGAGUUGAAAAACUAUUUCAUCGAUUAAGUUUUAGUGGACACUCCAACUUGGGUCAAAUUUCGUCGACCAUAACUUCCUGUAUAUAACUAACCAGGAGUCCUGCUAUAUAUCAAAUGAAAGUUCUUUGAGUCCUCUUUCCAACGCAGCUGAUUUCGUCCAAAUCCAACAUCGGAGUAAAACGUUAUACCCAAUUUACUUCAGCAUAUUAGUCUGUCAACUGAGGGACUGCUGCGACUUUUUUUAUUUCCUGAGGGGUAUUUGGGUAUUUUCCCCACCCCAAACUUUUUCAACACAAUUUAAAUUAUCCAAAACAUUCUAUAGUUCAUUUCUUUUAUCAUUUUUAAAAUCUCAAUUCCUCUCCUCUCACAAGAACAAAAUUGAAACUAGGCUUUCCUUCAAGAUCAAGAAUCAAUCUCUUAAGUCCAAGAUUUUCAAAAAACAGAUCAAGAUUCGAGUUCUACUCUUCAAACCUUGUAAUCUAAGGAUUCGAGGCACAAUCCCGCAGUACCAUACAACAGUAGAUUCGUGUGUCAGAAGUUACAGUUGUUUAUAUAUGAAGAUGCAUCGGAUGAAGGUGAGAAGGCUUAUUGGAGGCAAAGUUAAAUAAAGUCAAAUUGCAUAACUUUACAUGUAUGGAGCAAGAAAAGUUAAGAAACUACUCUUUAACAAAUGCAGACAUCUUGGAUGAAGAAGAGAAGCCUUGUUGUGCAUCUCUACCAUGGAAUUGUUGGAGGCAUAAGUUAAAGGAAGUCAAAUUGAGAAACUUUACAUGUGUGGUCUGUGGAGCAAGAGAAGUUGAGAAACUACUUUAUCGCAAAUGCAGACAUUUCGGAGAUGGUUAAGAUCAGCCUUGACUAGUCCAAAUAAAUUUGCUUUACAGAGUAAAUUGAACAUUUGCUAAAGUAAGUAUCUUGAAGUUCAUUCAUUAUUGUCGAAACUUGUUAGAAAAACAUACGAGUAUGCAUCGCAAUAUCCAGGUGGAUAUAUGUGUUACAAAAUAAGAAUUGGAUCAUUGUCUUUUCAUCUGUAUGAUAUGGCGGUUUAUCUUCAA